GAAGGCCACUGGGGGUCCUCCUGGCCCUGGUGCCCAGUGUGGCCACAUCCCAUCUUCAGACAACAGUGACCUCGGAACAGUCAAGACGUAGGAGAAGAAGGUGGACCAGUCCCGGCUUCCCUGGAGCCUUCAGAUCUUGGACGACGCCUUUUCCAAUGUGCCAGGAGCAAGGUGAACACCGGGAUUCAGCGUCACAGCCAAGGCCCUGGGCAAUGAGUGAGGAGUGACAGUCCCAGCCCUGUCACUCUGGAGCGGUGUGAUUUGGCCACGUUAUCUAAGCUGAGCAUUACUUUCCCAUUCAUUAAAAAUGGGGAUAACAGUGUCACCUCA